rnacentral:rRNA from 1 species
GACGAACGCUGGCGGCGUGCUUAACACAUGCAAGUCGAACGGUGAAGCGCCUUCCUUUUUGGUGGGUGUGGAUGAGUGGCGAACGGGUGAGUAACACGUGAGUAACCUGCCCCCUUCUUCUGGAUAACCGCAUGAAAGUGUGGCUAAUACGGGAUAUUCUGGGUCUGUCGCAUGAUGGGUCUGGGAAAGAUAUUGUUUCGGUGGGGGAUGGGCUCGCGGCCUAUCAGCUUGUUGGUGGGGUGAUGGCCUACAAAGGCGGUGACGGGUAGCCGGCCUGAGAGGGUGGACGGUCACACUGGGACUGAGACACGGCCCAGACUCCUACGGGAGGCAGCAGUGGGGAAUAUUGCACAAUGGGCGCAAGCCUGAUGCAGCGACGCCGCGUGAGGGAUGGAGGCCUGCGGGUUGUGAACCUCUUUCGCCAGUGAAGCAGGCCUGCCUCGUUUGUGGGUGGGUUGACGGUAGCUGGAGAAGAAGCGCCGGCUAACUACGUG